AGAAUCUUGCAAGAUCAAAGGAGUAAUGCUAAGGACUCCAUCUGGUGGAGGGAUUUGAAGGGGGUUUGGGGGAUGGAGGAAUGGGAUAGAACCUUUGAGAAUUUUUGUGAGUGGAAAGUGGGAAACGGGAAGUAUAUCUUGUUUUGGAAAGAUGUUUGGGCGGGCAACGAAGAUUUGAAAAGUAAAUUCCCAAGACUGUAUUCCUUAUGUGGUAAUAA
rnacentral:lncRNA from 1 species